UUUAUUGGAGAGUUUGAUCCUGGCUCAGGAUGAACGCUGGCGGCGUGCCUAAUACAUGCAAGUCGAGCGAAUGGAUUAAGAGCUUGCUCUUAUGAAGUUAGCGGCGGACGGGUGAGUAACACGUGGGUAACCUGCCCAUAAGACUGGGAUAACUCCGGGAAACCGGGGCUAAUACCGGAUAACAUUUUGAACCGCAUGGUUCGAAAUUGAAAGGCGGCUUCGGCUGUCACUUAUGGAUGGACCCGCGUCGCAUUAGCUAGUUGGUGAGGUAACGGCUCACCAAGGCAACGAUGCGUAGCCGACCUGAGAGGGUGAUCGGCCACACUGGGACUGAGACACGGCCCAGACUCCUACG
rnacentral:rRNA from 2 species